rnacentral:rRNA from 1 species
GAUGAACGCUGGCGGCGUGCCUAAUACAUGCAAGUCGAGCGAACAGACGAGGAUCUUGCUCCGCUGACGUUUGCGGCGGACGGGUGAGUAACACGUGUAUAACCUACCUGUAAGACUGAUAUCACUUCGAGAAACCGGAGCUAAUACCGUAUAAGAUAUUGAUCCGCAUUGUGCAAUAGUGAAAUACGGUGUUUCUGUCACUUAUAGAUGGUUCCGCGCCGCAUUAGCUGGUUGUUAAGGUAACGGCUUACCAAGGCAACGAUGCGUAGACGAACUAAGAGGGGGAUAGCCGACAUUGGAAGGUAGACACGGUCAAGACGCCUACGGGAGGCAGCAGUAGGCAAUCUUCCGCAACGGGGGAAAGCAUGACGGAGCAACGCGGAGCGAGUGACGAAGGUGCUCGGAUCGUAAAAAUCUGUUACUAGGGAAGAACAACUGUGUCAGUAAACAUGGAGGUAGUGACGGUAACUAAUAAGAAAGCAACGGCUAACUACGUG